GGUUAAGCGACUAAGCGUACACGGUGGAUGCCCUGGCAGUCAGAGGCGAUGAAGGACGUGCUAAUCUGCGAUAAGCGCCGGUAAGGUGAUAUGAACCGUUAUAACCGGCGAUUUCCGAAUGGGGAAACCCAGUGUGAUUCGUCACACUAUCAUUAACUGAAUCCAUAGGUUAAUGAGGCGAACCGGGGGAACUGAAACAUCUAAGUACCCCGAGGAAAAGAAAUCAACCGAGAUUCCCCCAGUAGCGGCGAGCGAACGGGGAGGAGCCCAGAGCCUGAAUCAGCAUGUGUGUUAGUGGAAGCGUCUGGAAAGGCGCGCGAUACAGGGUGACAGCCCCGUACACAAAAGCGCAUGUGCUGUGAGCUCGAUGAGUAGGGCGGGACACGUGGUAUCCUGUCUGAAUAUGGGGGGACCAUCCUCCAAGGCUAAAUACUCCUGACUGACCGAUAGUGAACCAGUACCGUGAGGGAAAGGCGAAAAGAACCCCGGCGAGGGGAGUGAAAAAGAACCUGAAACCGUGUACGUACAAGCAGUGGGAGCACAGGUUUACCUGUGUGACUGCGUACCUUUUGUAUAAUGGGUCAGCGACUUAUAUUCUGUAGCAAGGUUAACCGAAUAGGGGAGCCGGAGGGAAACCGAGUCUUAAUUGGGCGUUAAGUUGCAGGGUAUAGACCCGAAACCCGGUGAUCUAGCCAUGGGCAGGUUGAAGGUUGGGUAACACUAACUGGAGGACCGAACCGACUAAUGUUGAAAAAUUAGCGGAUGACCUGUGGCUGGGGGUGAAAGGCCAAUCAAACCGGGAGAUAGCUGGUUCUCCCCGAAAGCUAUUUAGGUAGCGCCUCGUGAAUUCAUCUCCGGGGGUAGAGCACUGUUUCGGCUAGGGGGCCAUCCCGGCUUACCAACCCGAUGCAAACUGCGAAUACCGGAGAAUGUUAUCACGGGAGACACACGGCGGGUGCUAACGUCCGUCGUGAAGAGGGAAACAACCCAGACCGCCAGCUAAGGUCCCAAAGUCAUGGUUAAGUGGGAAACGAUGUGGGAAGGCCCAGACAGCCAGGAUGUUGGCUUAGAAGCAGCCAUCAUUUAAAGAAAGCGUAAUAGCUCACUGGUCGAGUCGGCCUGCGCGGAAGAUGUAACGGGGCUAAACCAUGCACCGAAGCUGCGGCAGCGAACGUAUCACUUAAAGCGAUUCAGCGGGUUACGAUUGACGGAGCGAAGCGACGUCAAAGCGUAUACAAAGUCGAGUCGGUUUAAGGAUACGUUCGUUGGGUAGGGGAGCGUUCUGUAAGCCUGUGAAGGUGGCCUGUGAGGGUUGCUGGAGGUAUCAGAAGUGCGAAUGCUGACAUAAGUAACGAUAAAGCGGGUGAAAAGCCCGCUCGCCGGAAGACCAAGGGUUCCUGUCCAACGUUAAUCGGGGCAGGGUGAGUCGACCCCUAAGGCGAGGCCGAAAGGCGUAGUCGAUGGGAAACAGGUUAAUAUUCCUGUACUUGGUGUUACUGCGAAGGGGGGACGGAGAAGGCUAUGUUGGCCGGGCGACGGUUGUCCCGGUUUAAGCGUGUAGGCUGGUUUUCCAGGCAAAUCCGGAAAAUCAAGGCUGAGGCGUGAUGACGAGGCACUACGGUGCUGAAGCAACAAAUGCCCUGCUUCCAGGAAAAGCCUCUAAGCAUCAGGUAACAUCAAAUCGUACCCCAAACCGACACAGGUGGUCAGGUAGAGAAUACCAAGGCGCUUGAGAGAACUCGGGUGAAGGAACUAGGCAAAAUGGUGCCGUAACUUCGGGAGAAGGCACGCUGACACGUAGGUGAAGUGAUUUACUCACGGAGCUGAAGUCAGUCGAAGAUACCAGCUGGCUGCAACUGUUUAUUAAAAACACAGCACUGUGCAAACACGAAAGUGGACGUAUACGGUGUGACGCCUGCCCGGUGCCGGAAGGUUAAUUGAUGGGGUCAGCGCAAGCGAAGCUCCUGAUCGAAGCCCCGGUAAACGGCGGCCGUAACUAUAACGGUCCUAAGGUAGCGAAAUUCCUUGUCGGGUAAGUUCCGACCUGCACGAAUGGCGUAAUGAUGGCCAGGCUGUCUCCACCCGAGACUCAGUGAAAUUGAACUCGCUGUGAAGAUGCAGUGUACCCGCGGCAAGACGGAAAGACCCCGUGAACCUUUACUAUAGCUUGACACUGAACAUUGAGCCUUGAUGUGUAGGAUAGGUGGGAGGCUUUGAAGCGUGGACGCCAGUCUGCGUGGAGCCGACCUUGAAAUACCACCCUUUAAUGUUUGAUGUUCUAACGUGGACCCGUAAUCCGGGUUGCGGACAGUGUCUGGUGGGUAGUUUGACUGGGGCGGUCUCCUCCUAAAGAGUAACGGAGGAGCACGAAGGUUGGCUAAUCCUGGUCGGACAUCAGGAGGUUAGUGCAAUGGCAUAAGCCAGCUUGACUGCGAGCGUGACGGCGCGAGCAGGUGCGAAAGCAGGUCAUAGUGAUCCGGUGGUUCUGAAUGGAAGGGCCAUCGCUCAACGGAUAAAAGGUACUCCGGGGAUAACAGGCUGAUACCGCCCAAGAGUUCAUAUCGACGGCGGUGUUUGGCACCUCGAUGUCGGCUCAUCACAUCCUGGGGCUGAAGUAGGUCCCAAGGGUAUGGCUGUUCGCCAUUUAAAGUGGUACGCGAGCUGGGUUUAGAACGUCGUGAGACAGUUCGGUCCCUAUCUGCCGUGGGCGCUGGAGAACUGAGGGGGGCUGCUCCUAGUACGAGAGGACCGGAGUGGACGCAUCACUGGUGUUCGGGUUGUCAUGCCAAUGGCACUGCCCGGUAGCUAAAUGCGGAAAAGAUAAGUGCUGAAAGCAUCUAAGCACGAAACUUGCCCCGAGAUGAGUUCUCCCUGAGACUAUAAGUCUCCUGAAGGAACGUUGAAGACGACGACGUUGAUAGGUCGGGUGUGUAAGCGUAGCGAUACGUUGAGCUAACCGGUACUAAUGAACCGUGAGGCUUAACCUU
rnacentral:rRNA from 1 species